UUCUUACUCGGGGCUAAGUUUUAUAUAGG
rnacentral:piRNA from 1 species